rnacentral:rRNA from 1 species
UACGGAGGGUGCAAGCGUUAUCCGGAUUCACUGGGUUUAAAGGGUGCGUAGGCGGACAGGUAAGUCAGUGGUGAAAUCUCUGGGCUUAACCCAGAAACUGCCGUUGAUACUAUUUGUCUUGAAUAUCCUGGAGGUAGGCGGAAUAUGUCAUGUAGCGGUGAAAUGCUUAGAUAUGACAUAGAACACCGAUAGCGAAGGCAGCUUACUACAGGAUGAUUGACGCUGAGGCACGAAAAGCGUGGGGGAGCAAACAGG